AGUGAACGCUGGCGGUAGGCCUAACACAUGCAAGUCGAGCGGCAGCACAGUAAGAGCUUGCUCUUACGGGUGGCGAGUGGCGGACGGGUGAGGAAUACAUCGGAAUCUACUUUUUCGUGGGGGAUAACGUAGGGAAACUUACGCUAAUACCGCAUACGACCUACGGGUGAAAGCAGGGGAUCUUCGGACCUUGCGCGAUUGAAUGAGCCGAUGUCGGAUUAGCUAGUUGGCGGGGUAAAGGCCCACCAAGGCGACGAUCCGUAGCUGGUCUGAGAGGAUGAUCGGCCACACUGGAACUGAGACACGGUCCAGACUCCUAAGGGAGGCAGCAGUGGGGAAUAUUGGACAGUGGGCGCAAGCCUGAUCCAGCCAUACCGCGUGGGUGAAGAAGGCCUUCGGGUUGUAAAGCCCUUUUGUUGGGAAAGAAAAGCAGCAGGUUAAUACCCCGCUGUUCUGACGGUACCCAAAGAAUAAGCACCGGCUAACUUCGUG
rnacentral:rRNA from 1 species